rnacentral:lncRNA from 1 species
UGCAGUACCACAUUGUUCGCGGAGUCCUGUGGAGAGCUGGAAUGCACACACAAUACGUGCCGACUCUUGCAAAAGGUGAAAGACUUCUCAUCAGAGAAAACAUUUUCGGUUUCAUCACAGUAGAAAAUGGCUACCUCGUCAACCGAGACAUUGGCGCAACAAACGGUGUGAUCCAUGAAGUAUCCCGCAUGUUGAAACCCAAGGAUGUAGAUUUAACCGGUUAAAAGAAAUGUCUGCUUGUUCUAGUCUUGUGAACUGAUAGAAAUCUUGGGCAUCAUUAUCUGUAUAUUUCUGUUGUAAAUAAAUAAAUGAAAAAAUAAAACAGUUUCAGCAAACAAA